UGGGGAAUCUUGCCCAAUGGGCGCAAGCCUGAGGCAGUAACGCCGCGUGGGGGAUGAAGGCUCUCGGGUUGUAAACCCCUUUCAGCAGGGACGAAACUGACGGUACCUGCAGAAGAAGCCCCGGCCAACUACGUGCCAGCAGCCGCGGUAAUACGUAGGGGGCGAGCGUUGUCCGGAUUCAUUGGGCGUAAAGAGCUCGUAGGCGGCUUGAUAAGUCGGGUGUGAAACCUCCAGGCUCAACCUGGAGCCGCCACUCGAUACUGUCAUGGCUAGAGUCCGGUAGGGGACCACGGAAUUCCUGGUGUAGCGGUGAAAUGCGCAGAUAUCAGGAGGAACACCGGUGGCGAAGGCGGUGGUCUGGGCCGGCACUGACGCUGAGGAGCGAAAGCGUGGGGAGCGAACAGG
rnacentral:rRNA from 1 species